CCUACGGGAGGCAGCAGUGGGGAAUAUUGCACAAUGGGCGCAAGCCUGAUGCAGCGACGCCGCGUGCGGGAUGACGGCCUUCGGGUUGUAAACCGCUUUUGAUCGGGAGCAAGCCUUCGGGUGAGUGUACCUUUCGAAUAAGCACCGGCUAACUACGUGCCAGCAGCCGCGGUAAUACGUAGGGUGCAAGCGUUAUCCGGAAUUAUUGGGCGUAAAGGGCUCGUAGGCGGUUCGUCGCGUCCGGUGUGAAAGUCCAUCGCUUAACGGUGGAUCCGCGCCGGGUACGGGCGGGCUUGAGUGCGGUAGGGGAGACUGGAAUUCCCGGUGUAACGGUGGAAUGUGUAGAUAUCGGGAAGAACACCAAUGGCGAAGGCAGGUCUCUGGGCCGUUACUGACGCUGAGGAGCGAAAGCGUGGGGAGCGAACAGGAUUAGAUACCCUGGUAGUCCACGCCGUAAACGGUGGAUGCUGGAUGUGGGGCCCGUUCCACGGGUUCCGUGUCGGAGCUAACGCGUUAAGCAUCCCGCCUGGGGAGUACGGCCGCAAGGCUAAAACUCAAAGAAAUUGACGGGGGCCCGCACAAGCGGCGGAGCAUGCGGAUUAAUUCGAUGCAACGCGAAGAACCUUACCUGGGCUUGACAUGUUCCCGACAGCCGUAGAGAUACGGUCUCCCUUCGGGGCGGGUUCACAGGUGGUGCAUGGUCGUCGUCAGCUCGUGUCGUGAGAUGUUGGGUUAAGUCCCGCAACGAGCGCAACCCUCGCCCUGUGUUGCCAGCACGUCAUGGUGGGAACUCACGGGGGACCGCCGGGGUCAACUCGGAGGAAGGUGGGGAUGACGUCAGAUCAUCAUGCCCCUUACGUCCAGGGCUUCACGCAUGCUACAAUGGCCGGUACAACGGGAUGCGACAUGGCGACAUGGAGCGGAUCCCUGAAAACCGGUCUCAGUUCGGAUUGGAGUCUGCAACCCGACUCCAUGAAGGCGGAGUCGCUAGUAAUCGCGGAUCAGCAACGCCGCGGUGAAUGCGUUCCCGGGCCUUGUACACACCGCCCGUCAAGUCAUGAAAGUGGGUAGCACCCGAAGCCGGUGGCCCAACCUUUUGGGGGGAGCCGUCUAAGGUGAGACUCGUGAUUGGGACUAAGUCGUAACAAGGUAGCCGUACCGGAAGGUGCGGCUG
rnacentral:rRNA from 1 species